rnacentral:rRNA from 1 species
GAUGAACGCUGGCGGCGUGCCUAAUACAUGCAAGUCGAGCGAACAGACGAGGAGCUUGCUCCUCUGACGUUAGCGGCGGACGGGUGAGUAACACGUGGAUAACCUACCUAUAAGACUGGGAUAACUUCGGGAAACCGGAGCUAAUACCGGAUAAUAUAUUGAACCGCAUGGGUCAAUAGUGAAAGACGGUUUUGCUGUCACUUAUAGAUGGAUCCGCGCCGCAUUAGCUAGUUGGUAAGGUAACGGCUUACCAAGGCAACGAUGCGUAGCCGAACUGAGAGGGUGAUCGGCCACACGGGAACUGAGACACGGUCCAGACUCCUACGGGAGGCAGCAGUAGGGAAUCUUCCGCAAUGGGCGAGAGCCUGACGGAGCAACGCCGAGUGAGUGAUGAAGGUCUUCGGAUCGUAAAACUCUGUUAUGAGGGAAGAACAAAUGUGUAAGUAAAUAUGCACGUCUUGACGGUACCUAAUCAGAAAGCAACGGCUAACUACGUG